CCUACGGGGGGCUGCAGUGAGGAAUAUUGGUCAAUGGCCGGAAGGCUGAACCAGCCAAGUAGCGUGAAGGAUGACUGCCCUACGGGUUGUAAACUUCUUUUAUAAAGGAAUAAAGUGAGGCACGUGUGCCUUUUUGUAUGUACUUUAUGAUUAAGGAUCGGCUAACUCCGUGCCAGCAGCCGCGGUAAUACGGAGGCUCCGAGCGUUAUCCGGAUUUAUUGGGUUUAAAGGGAGCGGAGAUGGGUUGUUAAGUCAGUUGUGAAAGUUUGCGGCUCAACCGUAAAAUUGCAAUUGAUACUGGCAGCCUUGAGUACAGUUGAGGUAGGCGGAAUUCGUGGUGUAGCGGUGAAAUGCUUAGAUAUCACGAAGAACUCCGAUUGCGAAGGCAGCUUACUAAACUGCCACUGACAUUGAUGCUCGAAAGUGUGGGUAUCAAACAGGAUUAGAUACCCGGGUAGUC
rnacentral:rRNA from 1 species